AGCAUAUUCAUUCCUGAGAGCUCCAGACAUGGGACAGUUAUGAAAAGCUUUCUGCACAAAUGAAGCAAACGUGGCAUCCCACAGGGCAACCAAACGGCAGCUUCUGUCACAGUCUCAAAACCAACUGUACCUGAAUGGAGACUGGAAGGUGGCAGCAAAGGGGCAAUCUGACAGAAUGGUGUCUGACAUGGAAAUGUGGAUGAAGCAAAGGUAUGUCAUUGAACUCCUCCAUGCAGAAAAAAAAUGGUACCUAUUGAUAUUCACUGACACUUGUUGAACGUUUAUGGAGACCAAACAGUGGAUGUGCACACAGUAAGGCAGUGUGUGAUACGUUUCAGCAGUGCCAACUGCAGUAUGAAGGACAAGCCAUGUUCUGGAUGGCCACUCCAUCAAAGAAAAAGUUCAAGACGCAGCCUCUAGGUAAAGUGAUACAGACUGUGUUAUGGGAUAGGAAAGGGAUGAUCCUACUGGAUUUCCUGGAAUCCAGACAAACCAUCAAUUUUGACCACUACAUUGUGACACUGACUAAACUGAAGGCUUGAACUUCCAGAGUUAGACCAGAGAAUAGGACAAUCUUUCUCUUGCAACACUGUAACACCAGGCCCCAUGCCAGUUUGAAGACUUUGGAGCACACUUCAAGUAUUCUUUAGAUCAUCCUAACACAUCUACUGUACAGUCCAGAUUUGGCGCCUUCUGACUUCCACCGGUUUGAACCAAUGAAAGAUGGACUGCAUGAGAAACAUUUUCCUAGCAACAACAUCAUCAUAGCAGCUGUGGAACAUUGGGUCACCUCUGCUGUUAGAGACUUUCACAAGCACAGCAUGCAGGACCUUGCACAGCUAGUGGUGGUGACUAUUUGCUCCUUCAAAUAGUGUUAUUGUGUUCUUUGUAGCUGUUGUGGCUUCCAUAAAACUAAAAAAAAACC